rnacentral:rRNA from 1 species
AUUGAACGCUGGCGGCAGGCCUAACACAUGCAAGUCGAACGAGUGGCGGACGGGUGAGUAAUGUCUGGGAAACUGCCUGAUGGAGGGGGAUAACUACUGGAACCGGUAGCUAAUACCGCAUACCAUCAGAUGUGCCCAGAUGGGAUUCGCUGGUUGGUGGGGUAACGGCUCACCAAGGCGACGAUCCCUAGCUGGUCUGAGAGGAGGACCAGCGAACUGGGAACGGAGACACGGUCAAGAGUCCUAAGGGAGGCAGCAGUGGGGAAUAUGGCACAAUGGGCGAAAGCCUGAUGCAGCCAUGCCGCGUGUAUGAAGAAGGCCUUCGGGGUGUAAAGUACUUUCAGCGGGGAGGCGUUACCCGCAGAAGAAGCACCGGCUAACUCCGUGCCAGCAGCCGCGGUAAUAC